GCCUCCGUAGCUCAACUGGAUAGAGCACUGGUCUUCGGAACCAGAUGUUAGGGGUUCGAAUCCCUUCGGGGGUAC
rnacentral:tRNA from 1 species